CCUACGGGGGGCUGCAGUGGGGAAUAUUGGACAAUGGGCGAAAGCCUGAUCCAGCCAUGCCGCGUGUGUGAAGAAGGCCUUCGGGUUGUAAAGCACUUUCAGUGGGGAAGAAAGCCUUGGGGCUAAUACCCUCGAGGAAGGACAUCACCCACAGAAGAAGCACCGGCUAACUCCGUGCCAGCAGCCGCGGUAAUACGGAGGGUGCGAGCGUUAAUCGGAAUUACUGGGCGUAAAGCGCGCGUAGGCGGUCUGAUAAGCCGGUUGUGAAAGCCCCGGGCUCAACCUGGGAACGGCAUCCGGAACUGUCAGGCUAGAGUGCAGGAGAGGAAGGUAGAAUUCGCGGUGUAGCGGUGAAAUGCGUAGAGAUCGGGAGGAAUACCAGUGGCGAAGGCGGCCUUCUGGACUGACACUGACGCUGAGGUGCGAAAGCGUGGGUAGCAAACAGGAUUAGAUACCCCAGUAGUC
rnacentral:rRNA from 1 species